UUCUUUUGCUAGCCAGUAUGUCACAAGUGAAGAGAUGGCCCAGGCCAAGUAUUUUUCUUUAAUGGGAUGUACAUGUUGCUGGCUGAAGUUCUGCUGUUCAUAUGGUCAGCCUGGACAUGCAUUGCUCUUAUAACUGACCAUGCUUGGACACCCAUGGAGCAGAUACAGUCUCCCGAAGAAACACCUGGAUGCAAAUCUGGAUCCUGAUACCAUGCCCACGUCGUACCGGGUGCAGGUGUAAGGACGAGGUGUGGUUGCCCCUGCUGGCCCCCACGGAGAUGCUGCUGUACAGAGUAGAAGGGACGUGGGCUCCAGGCUGGGACUGGAAUACACGGCUCCCAUUUAACUCGGAGCACAUGGUCACUGGGGUAUAUGCAGGAAAUCAAAUGGUACUGAAAAAAUGCAUUUGUGUUAAAUAAAAAUGCUAGCACUUAA